CAAGGGGAAUUACCCAAAGUUAUGUUUAUAUUUAUUUUUGUAUCAUUGUUAUUCCUUUGUGGAAGACGCUUUACAUUUAAUUCAAUAAAUACACGUCAUAUCGCACAUGUAAAACAAAUAUCGGACUGUUUAAAGAUGUCUCCUCCGAUUACGUUCUGCCUCUUUGUUUCACUCCUACUUCCGGCAUCAGCGGUAACGGAAGAGUGUCCAGUACAGCAGGGCAACGACCAAAAUACACCACCGCUGUUUGCAAGAGGUGGAAAGCCGCUUGCGAUAGAUGUCAGACUCAUAGUGGUACAUAAUGAUCUCAAGGAUCGAUGCAUCGUCAACACUUCACAAAUCUUAACAAAUCUUACGAGAGUUAAUCAAGCUGAAAAUACAGUGAUUUAUCUGAAGUGUACAUUUCCAACACCAAUUGUCAUCCGACCUGAUCUCGAUCCGGAACUUAUACCAGAAAGAGAAGUUUAUAUGCUUCAAAUAAUAGGCUGCUCUUUUGACAAAUCCAGCAUUUUCACAAUAACAUCUUUAGCUGAGUUUAAGACUUUUAUAUUCAUAGGUUCGCUUAUUAACGGGGGUUUCACCACUUCACGGGAUGUUCGAAUCGAUAGUUUUAGAAGUAUUGUUUCGUUUGUGUAUGAGGAUAUUGGAUAUUCAAAUGAAAGUAUUUGGACAUUAUUUGAUGAAAGAGAAGCCUUUGAAAAGAUGGGGGAAAUUUCUAUUACAAAUUCACACUGGCUUGAUUUACCAGAAAAUAUAUCGUCCAUUUUUCCAAAUCUUCAAACACUAGACCUGCCAACAAAUGGACUUCAGGUUCCACAUCCAAUCUUUCCUUGGACACAGGAUUUGCUUUAUCUACCAAAUAACCUGACGAGAACUGGCUUUAUGCACCAUCACUAUGCCAAAUCACAAUCACUGAGUAUACCAAAUGAUAUAUUCCGAAGGUCUAUGGACAUGAGAGAGAAUAAUAUUACCGAUCUGAGUAUGUUUGAAUUUCAUGGAUUGAUACAUAUGAUCUCAUUACGAAACAACAGUCUUCGUUCUCUUGGAGAAAACACCUUUUCAAAUAUAUCAGGGAUUCAAACCUUGGAUCUCAGUGUUAACAAUUUACGCAGUUUACCAAGUGGAGUUUUUCGUGGACUUUCUGAGCUUCGGUUGCUAGACUUGAGCUUUAACGAAUUAUCGGUUGUUUCAGAGAAUGAUUUUACAGAUUUAACGUCUCUACUUCGCUUGAACUUAGCAAAUAACAAGAUAAAAUGCAUUGACAAUGGCUCAUUUAGCAGUCUCCAGGAACUACUGAUUUUGGACUUGACGGCUAACAGUAUACAAACAUUAAGUGAACAAUCUUUCCCAUUGAAAUCAGUUAGUCUAAAAGAGAUUUACGUAGAUGAAAAUCCGAUCAAAGUUUUACCAUCUUUUAUAUUUUAUGUGCGUGGUCUCAAAGUUGCCAGUUUUGAACACACUCAUAUCACAUUCGAGAAUUUUACGGACUUUUUACUUAACAUCGACCUGAAUAGAGUUUUGAUGAGUGUUGUUAAAUCAGCAAGCAGUCCUGACCUUUCAGGUGUUUUUCACCAAUCAAAGGUCCCAUGCUUGGUCAAACUGGGGCAUAGCAAUGUCACAACCUUAAGCUUUCAAAUUGAUCAGAAAAAUAUGACUUUGAAUACAUCAUUGCUUCUGUUAUUGCUUCAUUUUAAAUGGGAGUUUACAGCUUAUCCGAUCAGAUGCAACUGUCGCAUUAACCCACUUGUAUCAUUCGUGAUUGCAUUUAUCAAGAACAACAGUAUUGCAAAUGUAAAUGAAUUAUUUGGAAGCUGGAGUUGUCUGUCACCUGAGGAAUUGUAUCAGAAAAAUAUUUUGGAAAUUAACAUGGAUCAGACAUUUUGCGCUUUAAAUAAAUCGACGUGUCCAUCUCCUUGUAAAUGUUAUGAAAGAACGUUGACUGGCAAUAUAAUUGUGAACUGCAUGAACUAUCAUUUGAAACAUAUUCCCGCCAAUAUGCCACUUGGAAGUCUUGAGCUGAAACUCAGUCAUAAUAACAUAACACAUGUUGCAAAUAUGGCCUACCUUGGAAGGGUGAAGAUACUUGACAUAAGUCAUAAUCACUUAAAAAGCAUUGAUCCUAGUGUAUUUCAAACUAUGGGUAAGCUAGAAACUCUAAACUUAAGAUCCAACCAUCUCAUACGGCUACCACAAGCGAUGGUCAGUCUUGGUGCCAAAUCAAUUAUGCUAUCAGGUAACCCUUAUGAUUGUGAUUGCCAUGCUGUCUGGAUGAAGAAUUGGAUUGAAACGAACAAGGCUAUUGUUACAGAUUGGGACUUUGUAACGUGUAAUACUUUACAAAAGGACGGGAAUAUUAUAGUAGAAGUCAGUAAAGCCGAGUUUAUUUGUAAAGAUAGUUCGAUAAAUGACUUUAAUGAAAUUAAACACGUUGUGUUCCCUUCAGUUACAACAUUUGUAACAGUGUGUGCCGUAAUGAUAACAAUUGCACUGAUUUAUUCAUUUCGCAUUAAAAUUAAAGUUUUGAUGUUUGUACACUGGGGACUACAUCCAUUUGAUUACGAAACUGGAAAUAAUGCUGAGGAAAUAGAUUGUUUGGUUGUUCACAAUAGUUCUGACAGUGAUUGGGUUCUAGAAAAAGUCGUUAAACCAUUAGAACAUUGCAGAAGCAACUACACUGUCGUCGAUUCGGACAGAGACUUCAUUGUUGGAUAUUCUUUCCAGCAAAACGUGAGGAAUCUUGUUGUGCGCAGUAAACGAAUGAUAAUAAUUGUAACCGGUAAUUCGAUGCCUGAAAACAUUGCCAUGUCUUGGUCAAUUGCUCAAGAAAAAAUAAAAAGCACAAAAUCAAGUUACGGAAUUAUUGUUACACAUGAUAUUCAGAAACAUAACAUAGAAGACAAAGAUAUUAAAUCGUACUUAAAGCACGGACGUUAUGUAGACUCUAAGGAGCGUCUUUUUACAAAUAAACUUCUUUAUUAUAUGCCUGGUAAAUGUGUGAAUCUGGAAUGUCACAAGAACACCAAUGUCAGUAAAAGUGUAUCAGAUUCGGGUAUAUCUUUCGGAGGAUCAAUACUCGAGUGUACGAAUACUGUAUCACACGCGACUAGUAAUUUAUCCUCUUUGACCAAUGAGUGUGCUGAAAGCGCUGAAUUUUUCAUUUCUUGUACAACGGAUCUAUUCAUAUCAUACCACGACACAGAUAUGGACUUUGCAAGACACAGACUUUUACCGUUGUUUGAAGCAAAAAACUAUGAUGUGUGCUUUCCAGACAGAGAUUUUCUGCCUGGGCCAUCACGAGAGGAAAACAUUCUCAAUUCCAUUUCAUCGUCCGAACACACAGUGUUGGUUUUAUCGUCUUUGUACGUGUUAGAUGAAUGGUGUUUGUUCACAUUCAGAGCGGCAUAUGAAAGAUCUCUUCGCGAAACAUCAAACCAUUUAAUUGUAGUGAUCAGAAAUGAUGUAGAUAUAAGCAACGAUAUUCCGGACAACGAAAUCAAACAUUAUAUCAGGAGUUAUGUUUGUCUGGGGGAAAAUCAUAAAUGGUUCGAAAAGAAGUUACUGCAUUGUGUUGAAUAUUCUCAUUCUUUACAAUCAUGUGGUAUAUUGCCUAUACAGAGUUUAGUUACAGAACUAUAGGUGUAGGAUGUAUUUAUUAUUCAUGACAUAGUGUUAUAUGAAUAUGGUAUUCUUGCAUGGCAAAAUUAAUGUGAUAUAUCCUGUCUUUUUUCUUAUAUUUUUGUAAUACAUGCUUAUCGGCCAGGGAAAGUUGCAUGUUUGGAGGAAGUGUUUACAAAGGCGAUCCGCUAGUUUGGUGAUAGUCCAGGUGAAUGUACUUCGCAGCAGCUCGGAAUAUAAUCAAACCUCUUAACUAAACUUGUAGUUUGUCAACAUUUCACAAUAUGACAUUGCCAAGUCGAUGCUUCACCAUUUGAAACGUGAGAUAUAACAUAGAAUAACAAAUUUGAUCGAUUUACAUCAUAUCUUUAUGCUAGUGUGUGAUAUGCACAAUUUUUUGGUCCCUAAAUACAUAUUCAUUCCGUCUUUUGUGGCUUGCUUCGCUGUUCGUCCUUUAUAUACUGUACAAAUUAUUUCAUUGACGGAUUAUAGUUAACUUAUGAAUUUAAGAAAAGAAAGCAUUUCAUUUUGAGCUUUUUAAAUGCCGGAAAAUGUUCCUACAAGCAAAAUCAUGGACACUUUCCAUGGCGAGGCAUCAAAUUUGUCUUCUCGAUAUGAAUGCGUUAUAAAUGAUUAAUAAAAAGUUUUAAUGAAAUCAAGCAGUUUUUAUUACAUGUUUAUUCAAUAUUGAUAUAAAAUUGUAUUUCUGUACAACUGAAAACAGAGGCAUGCCGAUAUUUGUCCCAAACCUAAGCAAUAUUCCUGAUUCUAAGGUGGUGGUGGUGGAACCUUUUCGUAGAAUAUUACAGCGCAUUAUCUUUUUAUUAUACUCAGUGUACUUCAGGGAGGAAAAUGGUCUUGCUUUUUAUAUUACCAUCAUAACCGUCAAUUGCAAGUUUGACAUUCAACUGUCUCACUGUCACGACUUUAACAGCAAGUAGUGCAGAGAUGAUAGCCCCCCUCUUGAAGCGUGGAAGACAAUAUACUGGGCAGUUGCCUAAUUCCGGAUUUGCCUAAAUAUUCGGAAAUCGUUAAAAAGUGUUUCGGCGACCAUGAUCAAUAUAGAAUGAUCACUGUCUACGCAACUGACCGUCAUAGCAACAGAAACAACGCAACAGUGCAGCUAUGUGAGCAUAACCCCAAAAUAAAUACCUCUGACUUUCGCUUUCCCAAUUGUCAAUAUUUAGUCACGUGGGGGAUGACAUCACACAGCGCGAGCUUUUAUAAUGAGGUUCGACAGGGUUAUCUUUAAACACUAUACCUUCUAUACAUAUCGUCCAUCACGAAAUACAAUGCCAAAACAUAUAAAGUAACUAAAUUGACAAUGCUAUUGUUUUUGUGUUGAGUAGCAUUUACGUGAAACUUUUUUGAUUCGUUGAUAUGUCUUUUCUAUUUUCAGAAAUAAAGCGGAUUUCUCGCAUAUUUUUUUGAAGCAAGGGAGUUAACUCAAAAACUCAAUGUAUAAAAACUACAAUGUAGUUGUUUCCCUUGUAAAAAUGCACUCUAAUUGAUGUUUAAUUUGCGUUUAAUUUUGAUCAGUAUGUAUUACCAAUACAAGAGUUCAUACAGUAAUGAUGACAUGGACCUGGCGGUGUCUGCAGUUCGCAGAAAGGAGAUGAAAUUAAAGGACGCAUCAUUGCAAUAUGGGGUGCCAAAGUCAACGCUCCACGACCAUGUUAUGGCAAAGGAUGAUAGAGUGUUAGGCAGUAGAGGGGCGAUUACGACGAAAGGGCUCUUGCCAACUAGCUGACAUACAUGGCCAACCAGGGUGUGCCGGCCUCUCGUCCGAUUGUGAAGGCGAAGGUUAUUGAAAUCCUUAAUGAGUCUGGUUCAGCAAAAAGAGUGAACAUGAACACCGGGCCUACAAGCAAAUGGUUUAAAAGUUUCUUGAACCGCUACGGGCUCAGCAACAGAACUGCAGAAAGCAUGAACGCCGCCCGAGCGUCAAUGUCCACCGAGGCAAUGAGUUCUUUGAUUUUUAUGAGGCAGUGGUGGACAAGUAUGACAUAAGAAACAAGUCCGAGCAGAUCUUUAACUGCGAUGAAACGGGUUGGACGGGGAAAGAAAAAUCUACAUCAAAGGUUAUUGCGCCCAAGAACGGACAUGUAUUCAAAACGAAAAUAGUACCAAGUGGACACAUAACCGCACACGUUUGUGUCAGUGGCAAUGGCCGUUUUCUGCCGUCGCUGGUGAUAU